CCUACGGGAGUCAGCAGUGAGGAAUAUUGGUCAAUGGGCGGAAGCCUGAACCAGCCAAGUAGCGUGCAGGAUGACGGCCCUACGGGUUGUAAACUGCUUUUAUACGGGAAUAACGCGCCUUACGUGUAGGGCUUUGCAUGUACCGUAUGAAUAAGGACCGGCUAAUUCCGUGCCAGCAGCCGCGGUAAUACGGAAGGUCCGGGCGUUAUCCGGAUUUAUUGGUUUUAAAGGGAGCGUAGGCCGCAUGUCAAGCGUGCUGUGAAAUGGCGGGGCUCAACCCGGGCCUUGCAGCGCGAACUGGCGUGCGUGAGUCCGCGGAAAGCAGGCGGAAUUCGUCGUGUAGCGGUGCAAUGCUUAGAUAUGACGAAGAACCCCGAUUGCGAAGGCAGCUUGCUGCAGCGGAACUGACGCUGAUGCUCGAAAGCGCGGGUAUCGAACAGGAUUAGAUACCCUGGUAGUC
rnacentral:rRNA from 1 species